AAAUGGAUUAGAAGCAGGGAGCUAAACAACAUAUCUGUUAGAAACAUCAGGACAGGAAAAUGAUUGGAUCUGCUAUUGGCAGUUGAAAUAAAGAAGGGGGAUUAUUUUGCAAAGGUGGACUCUACAGCACUUGUAAAACUCGGUGUAGUAGAUUGGGUGUGAGGAAAAUGUGAGAGGCUGGCACUUUCCAGUGUGGUUGACUAGGUCUGGGUCACAAGGAUUGGAGAUCCAUGGCAGACUUAAGUUUGGGUGCUAAAGUUUCAUUUAUGACAGUAAUAGCACAUAUAAGAUGAUUUGAGUGGGGUUCAUGAGGUUUUAGAUUACAGAGAUUAGGUAAAUUUAGGUUUGGAGGAUUUUUUGUUCUUGAUUUAAAAAACAAGCAAGUUAAAUUUCUUUCUCUAAAGGAGUCCAAGUGAAAUAGUUUAUUACACAUGCUUUAAAAAUUUUCUGGAGACCCAUGUUCAGAUUAGAGGGAAAAUACUUCAAUUGCUGACAGAGAUGAAGAAUUUAUUAUGGCUUUAAAUGUAUUUUUAGCCCAUAAAACACUGUCUUAUUUUUUACACGAGCAAGCACGUUAAUCCUGGGGGAACAGAUUUGGAUAUGUGAUAUGGCCAUGUGAGUGGUAUUACUCAUUGGUUUUCUUAGCUCCGUAUGCAGGAAUCCCAUUUUGUAACUGCUUAACCUUUUGUUAUUUUGUUAGUUUACCAAAUUAUCAACAAUUUUGUGUAUGGAAGCUGAGUGGGAUGUCUUUGGGCAGAUGGAAUGAUUACCGAGCCCUGAGCUAUGUCACCGUGGCUUCCUGACAGCUUUCCUUUGGCACAACGAAAAUGUGUGCCCAGGAAUAUCAUGCAAUAGUUAAAUGUGAGGGAGAAAUACCAGGCUUAACCAAUUGAAGAAAAUGGCAAGACAAAUGACAAAUAUUUCCCCCUGGCCACACAGAGCCAUCAGCUCAGCUAUGCAGAUGAGCACAACCACCACCUAAGAUCUCUCUGCUGGGGCACAGCUGCAAAGAGAAAUGUGGUCUGCCAAGAUUGAGCACUGGUUCCUAUAAACCCUGCCUACCUUCUCAGUGGUCAAGCCUGGCAGAUUUCCUGUGAUCCGUGUGAGGCAAGAUCCAAAUUGGCCUCCUGGGAAGGCCCCUGCAAUGCUGGGGGCUGGAUGUACCCUUUGGGCUCUUUCCCCCACCAGUGUAGAAACCACAGGCCCAGGGAACCCCGCUUGGUAUGGUGUUAUGCUGUCCUGGGAAGGGGCACUAUGGUCAGAGUGUAGCCACUCCUCUUACCCCUUUGUAAGGUCAUCCUUUUCAGUCUUUUCCCUGGGGGUGGUUCAGCUUCAUCCCUGGGUUCGGAGAUUUUCACAGAACUGUCUUGUCUAUGGAUAUUUGUCAGUUGGUCUUGUGAAGGGGACUGGUCAGGAAUAACCUGGUCACCAUCUUGAUCCAUACUUUCCUGAUUUUCAGUUCCCUGCUGCUACCAAAUUGCUGAAGCUGUUCAAAAGAAUUCUUCAGAAACAUUCCUUCCCCAUUUGUAACUGUGUCUUAGAAUCCCGGGAUCAGCAUGCCUAGAAUAGAACCAUGAUUUCCUGAUUUCCAUUUGUCUGUUGUUUUCAAAUACCUGAAACUCUAAACAUUUUGCUUUGUUUUUAUAUUUAACUUACUCUUAGAAUCUUAUGAUUAAAAAAAUUAUAGCAGUGUGAUCUCAGUUGAAAAGAAUGAGAAUUUCCCCAUUUUUUAAAAAUCCUCUCAAACCCACGUUCCAUUAGCCUGGGGG